rnacentral:lncRNA from 1 species
AACAAGUCUGUUCCUCUCUGAGGACUAAUUAGAGUUUUAAAUCACACAUGCUACAGCGACGAUGAUAUUAUUACAGUGAUAUGCAGGACUGUUGCUCAGAAAAGCUUAGAGAAAACCCAGCUAUAUACAGGUUAGAGUUUCCCUAGCAAAAUACCAGUAUUACAGUAUGAAACAAAUAAAUGAAUUUUUUUUUGUCAAUUAGCCUGUUACAGAUUCUCUCCCAAAAUCAAAACAAGAAACAAGUUGAUUGGGUGGGAAGAACAUCUUACUCUCUUCUUCAUCAUCCAUCUUCCACAGUGUGUCCCAGCAGUAUUCCCAUGAAAAAUUGCAACCUUGUUGACUGUAGUUAUCAGACAGAGGUUUUAUUACUGUGUUUUCUUCAGACAUAUCAAUGUCUUUCCAUAUAUCAUCCAUGGAGUAGCCAUUUCCAUCUUCAAAUUCUGGACUGUUUUUCUUUCCUGCCAUGUCAAGGCCCCCAGUGUCAUAAAAG